rfam:Ipomoea nil DNA, scaffold: scaffold3227, cultivar: Tokyo-kokei standard.
GGGGAUGUAGCUCAGAUGGUAGAGCGCUCGCUUCGCAUGCAAGAGGUACAGGAAUCGAUACCCCGCAUCUCCA